rnacentral:rRNA from 1 species
GAUGAACGCUGGCGGCGUGCUUAACACAUGCAAGUCGAACGAAGCAAUUAUGGAAGAACAUUUCGGUGUAACGAAGUAAUUGACUGAGUGGCGGACGGGUGAGUAACGCGUGGAUAACCUGCCUCAUACAGGGGGAUAACAGUUAGAAAUGACUGCUAAUACCGCAUAAGCGCACAGAAUCGCAUGAUUCGGUGUGAAAAACUCCGGUGGUAUGAGAUGGAUCCGCGUCUGAUUAGCUAGUUGGAGGGGUAACGGCCCACCAAGGCAACGAUCAGUAGCCGGCCUGAGAGGGCGACCGGCCACAUUGGGACUGAGACACGGCCCAAACUCCUACGGGAGGCAGCAGUGGGGAAUAUUGCACAAUGGGGGAAACCCUGAUGCAGCGACGCCGCGUGAGCGAAGAAGUAUUUCGGUAUGUAAAGCUCUAUCAGCAGGGAAGAAAAUGACGGUACCUGACUAAGAAGCCCCGGCUAACUACGUGCCAGCCGCCGCAGUAAGAC